UACGUAGGGUGCGAGCGUUGUCCGGAAUUAUUGGGCGUAAAGAGCUCGUAGGCGGUCUGUCGCGUCUGCUGUGAAAUCCCGAGGCUCAACCUCGGGCUUGCAGUGGGUACGGGCAGGCUAGAGUGCGGUAGGGGAGAAUGGAACUCCUGGUGUAGCGGUGGAAUGCGCAGAUAUCAGGAAGAACACCGAUGGCGAAGGCAGUUCUCUGGGCCGUAACUGACGCUGAGGAGCGAAAGCGUGGGGAGCAAACAGG
rnacentral:rRNA from 1 species